GCCUGCCUUGACCUGUCUAUUGCCUUCCCCUGUUGGAUUAUUAAACCAUUGUUAAUUCAACGUUUUCAGAUAAGGGUGUGAAACAUCCCAAAUUGUCAGACAAUUUUAAAAAUGGUGGUAGAAAUUGGUUUAUUAAGAAAGUACACAUCUUUCCAGUUUUUUUUCAGACAACCCGGUGGUAAUUUUAGUUGUUGGCUUGAGCACAACGCGCAAAGCCCAGAGUGCACAUUUGCUCGAUAAUGCAAUUUAUUUUGACAAAAUUAUCAGUAGCCUAGAGUUAAAAAUGCGAUGGAAAUCCAUUUACUUGUAUUUUUUUAUUCGGUACAUGGAAAUGUUAUGCUCACAGCUUUUUAUUCGCAACAAAUCAAUUGUUUAAAUGCGCAUGUUUUUAUGCAGAUUUUUUAGUAUUUGCUUGGAAAUCUGUCACCAAUUGGCUGGAAACCUAGCUAUAGAAAACAAGGGGUGGGGGUUGUGCUGUUACUCAAAAACAUUUCCCAAUGUUGACAGGUCUGCUAUUUAUUUGUAUGUUGAAAUGCAUGUGUAGGCUACAUUUUGUUGUUGGUGACCUUGCAUGCAGAAACCACAUAUCUUUAAAUUAAAACGAAGGUUUUGAACUUGGUUUAGGCAUGUGGUCACUUUUCCAAUAAUGAGAUAUGUAGCCUUGUUAAUGUUUUUAAACAUGUUUACGUUAUUCACAAUGCACCCGUUCACAGUUGGCUAGUUAAUACAAAAUAAUGGAAAUGAGGGGGGAAAGGAUAAGGUCAAUAUGUUCAGAUGUACUAAAAUCAACUGUGUCUCAUGCAUUGUGAAUGUAAGAAUUAGAUCUGUCAUUCACAAUACUGUAUGCACAACGGGGCUGAGGAAAUUAACUUGAGGAAGAUAGAUGACUGAUGCUUCUUACCCUUAUUCAUUGAGGAGCGGGGGAAGUUCUACGAAACAAAUUGUUAGUUUCAGUAUUAAUAGUAAUUUUCAACAAUUCUAAACAGCUACUAAAAACUAUUUGUAAAAAUUUAUUAAUUAUCAUCUUAUCUCACAAAUACAAAUGUUCAUGUCAUUCUCAACAUAUCCCUUACAACAGCAAAUUACAAUGUUUCCCUUUAUUUACACUCUCCGCGUGAACGUUCGUUGGAGUCCUCAGAUGACAUGACUGUGGUAGGCUAGCUUGGCUGGAGCUAACGUUGGACGAUGUGAACUUCUAUGCUAACAGAGUUUUACAGAUUAAUUAAACUCAAACAUCAUAAAAACAUGACAAUAAUAUCAUUAAACUCCGCUUAACUUGGUAUUUCACAUCAUAUGCUUUAUAACUCGCUCACCGUGAAGAUUAAAAAUAAUUCGUUUAUCUGGUGCUUCAGUUUUCAGUUGGCUCUCGUUCAACUUCACUAGGCAGGCAGGCUAGCGUGAUAGCCACUGUAGAGUGAGAGCACAUGAAGUACCCACUUCCCAAGAAACAAGCACACCCCUUGACUAUACAUGAUUACAAAUAGCAGAUUAGGCUACCAUAUAUCUAACAUUCUCCAACAUUUCUGGUUGGCAACACAGGGAACCCAAACAUGAGCACUUUAAAAAAAAAAAAAACUUUUAACAGAAAGUAUUACCCCUUUUUCACAGCAACUAUUUACAUUUUUAUUUGAUGUUACAGACAAACUAGGGCCAACAAUAGUAGCCUCAUGCCUCUGACUUUAUGUAGCACAAUAUUGGCUCACUCCAAUAUGGUAUCCUUCCGCUCGACAGGAUACAUUUAGUCCUGUGUACCGGGUAGUGCUGCGACUGACCCCCUUAAAUAGCUGCCGAGCUACUACUCACACCUUUUCCUAUUUUCGGCUCAUUCCAGAAGAUUCGCUGGGGGGGGGAUGUUUUUUCAGCAGCAGGGACUGAGACUCGUCAGGAUCGAGGGAAAGAUGAACGGAGCAAAGUACAGAGAGAUCCUUGAUAACCUGCUCCAGAGCGCUCAGGACCUCAGAUUGGCAGUUAUAUAGAACACAUUGUAUUGCUAAAAUGGUAUCUGCAGUGGCCGUACAGCAUUUACUGUGAUACAGCCUCUGCAGAUGUCAGGGCAUAUACACUUGCGCUUCGUUGAGUAGAGCAGAGCAGGACUUCCCGCCCCCACCUACCGUCAAUCAAUCAUGUCAAUGCGGAGCUUUGCGGAGCCCUCCACAUUGUUACAAAUUCUGGCCCGUGCAUGGUUUUGCGGUAUGGAGCUCCAUUUGAUCUCUGCAUGCCUACUGCGGCUCAGCAAUUCUAGCUUCAACCACAUUUUUCAGAUCAAGCGUAAAUUGGCUUUAAGUUGCCCCUCACUAUAGCUGCACUUCUCCACAUGUUCAGACUUUUAGGGCAGGUGUCACAGACAGGGCUUAUAUUAUUCCAGGAGUAGGCCUUAAUGUGUACUAUUUAAACUAGGACAUUUAAAUAGCAUUCAUGAACGUGGUUUAAAUUUGGGUUAGUUAGUCAGACUACGGAGUCCUUGAGUAAGGUAAGUAAACCUAAAUGAGAACACCUGGGUUAAGCCUGAUUAGGUUAAGUAUGAGCACAUGCUGUUGGUCUAAUGGUGCUCAUAUAAUCCUGGGAAUGGAAUAGAAAACACCAUCACUGGUGUGAAUCUUGAGACAAAACAAUGGCAGAGGCUAAAAUUCAAAACUUGAGCAUGAAAAAAUGCUACUAAAACAAAAAUUUCUCAAACCAUCCAGUUAUUGAACGUAAAAACCAUUCCACUGCUACUGAGCAAAAUAACAAGUGGUUGGGCUGCAAUUUUUAGUGAAUUCAAUGCAAAGGAAAAUGUAAAAACAAGAAGAGUACUACUUAAGACUCUGAAAGAACCUUUAAACUGACUUUAAAAAGAGAGAGUGCAGAGUUCAGAAGAGAGCGAUUUUACUACUGUUGGUGGACCACCAAAAAAAGAUGAGACUGAUGAAUUGAGUGACUUCCUGUCUGGAAUAAUAGAGCACCAGCAACCUCUGGGUGGUAUACCAGACGAUGACCAUUUGGACAGUUCAGAAGAAGCGCUGAGCACAAAUGAGGAAAGGAAUGUGAACAGGUUGGAAGAGCCAGUGCACAGUGAGUGUGUACCUGCCACAUCUGCUAUAGCAUCCCUGAGAUAAGAUUCUGCCACCACCUUUCAGCAGAGAACAAAAAAGAUGACCGUGCAUGAGAAGUUAGCCAGAGAACUUCACGACCAUCAAAUUAAAUAUCUGAAGAACAUGAAAUGAGAAUUGUACAGGUUGAACUGGAUAUGAAGUUGGAAGAGAGCGGUAUGAUGCAAAAUAUGUACAGUAAUGAGACUAUUGUGAUUACCAGCCAUGGUGAACAAUAUAUGUAAAACAUGUUUUGUCAUUUGGAUAUUCAUGAGUGAGUAUUUUAAUCACCACAAACUACAUUUUAAACUAGUCUUGGUUUAGUCACUCAUUUCGUUUUGCUGCACACUAUUUUAAUUUUGUACAGAACAUACAUUUAUCAAGGCAAAGAUAAGCCAUAAUGAAUAAUUCCAUAUUUAGAUGCAUCUCAUCUAGUUGAGGUGUUGCAAUUUGAAAGCAACUGUGUGCAAGUCCUCGUUGGUCCUUGCCUGCCUCAUCCAUGGGCACAUCUGCUUGAUCCUGAUCUUCCAUUGGAGGAUCAGGACAGCAAUGCUGCUUCAGGUAGUUGUGCAGCACAGCCGUAGCAACGAUCACUUUGCAGCAUCUUGUCUUGAAACAAAGUGUAUUGUGUAAACACGGGAAUCGAUUUUUCCAUACUCCAAACAUACGCUCGACCAUCCCUCUUGUCCGCAUAUGAGCUCAGUUGUAUCUUUGCGGCUCAGACGUUGUAUUUAUGUAUGGGUUGAAUAAAAAGUUACUGACCAUAUCCACUGUCACCAAGUAGUAGUCCACUAUGUUGUCCUUUUUGAAACUAAGCAUACAAUGAAGAGUUGAGGAAAAAUCCUUGAAUUGUGAGUUGCACCUUUUGUGAGGGGAAAAAAUAUGUAUUAAUCUUAUUUGUUGGAUAUGGAACAAUUUAUUUACUUAAAUAUUUCUCUCCUGCUAAUGUUGAGUUUUAUGGUGUCCACUCUAGCUUCCUGCAGCUAGUCUGGGUGCUGUGGACAUGGGUUUUACGAGAGAGCUGGAACUGACACUUGAUUGACCUGGUGAUUUAAAACCUACAGCCGGCAUUCGUGACAGGAUGUGGGGUGGUUGUAACUGGGAUAGAGAGGAGUAGAACAAAGGCCUCUGGUUCUUAGACAUCCUGGCAUCUGGGAAAUUAGGCCAGGGUCGGGGGUAAGAUAACGCCGGGGGCAGAUAAAGACAGGAUGUGCCCAAAGUGGCUCAUGGUUCCCCCCAAUCCAUAUGGGAACGGUGGAGCCAGCCAUGGUUGGAAGCAUUUUUAGGUUUGGUAUAUAAAUACACUGUAUUUUCUGUAUGGUUCAAGCACUCGGUCCGACAGUCAAGACUGCUUCAUUAUUGCAUUAAUUAAUCCAUUUUAAAUAAAGAUUGUUUGAAGAA